GUUUGAUCCUGGCUCAGAUUGAACGCUGGCGGCAUGCCUUACACAUGCAAGUCGAACGGCAGCACGGGAGCAAUCCUGGUGGCGAGUGGCGAACGGGUGAGUAAUAUAUCGGAACGUGCCCAGUCGUGGGGGAUAACGUAGAGAAAUUUACGCUAAUACCGCAUACGAUCUAAGGAUGAAAGCGGGGGACCUUCGGGCCUCGCGCGAUUGGAGCGGCUGAUAUCAGAUUAGGUUGUUGGUGAGGUAAAAGCUCACCAAGCCGACGAUCUGUAGCUGGUUUGAGAGAACGACCAGCCACACUGGGACUGAG
rnacentral:rRNA from 1 species